CAGCAUGGUAGUUCCUGCUGCUUUGGUGUGUGUGCCAGACUGGCCACUUUGGCCACACACAUGGGCCUCAGGCUAAUGCCUAGCUUUGAUGUAGCCAUCUUGGGCCUGCUUACAGGUAGCAUGGCCUUUAACCCUGUACUGCUCCCAGUGUAGGUCAUGCUGCUGUCUUGUCUUGUCUUGUUUUCUUUUGAUUUUGUGUUAACUUACUGUCUGUCUGUUUAGUUUCAUUUUUUUGUUGGCAUAACCCCCAAGGUGAUCAGGUUUUAUCUGGCAAGGAGCAUUAGUUUAGAGGGUGGCUAGUCAUAUACUAGUGUGGUGCAUUUGGCACUUGUUUGCUGUGUAAUCCAGAAUGUUUGCUGUGGACUGUUUUAAGUCAUGGGUUGCUGUGAUGAAGGUACACUUUCCAGUAGCAUGCCCCCUUAGUCACUGUGAGCUCUUGCCAGUCUCGUCCCAAAUAAAUAAAAUAACUACCUUCU